rnacentral:lncRNA from 1 species
CCCCCUCAUAAAUAGCAAAUUUAAAUAAACCGUCCAAACACCUCCUUGACACUUUUUAACAGUCUUUUUUACUUCAAAGAAAGUCUAAACUGACACCUGAAAGCUGAAACUCUCAUCUCUCUCUCUCUCUCUCUCAAAUUAGCCAAAUGAUGCUCGCCGGAAUAGACCACCAGCACCACCACUCCGGCCACUGCAGACUCUCGUUCUCUUAAAUGACGAAACUUCCCUUUUCCUCUGUCAUCACCCUUUCUUUAACUGCUCUCACAUUCCUCAGUCUCUUUCCAUUCAAAGCCCAUCCUUUAGGUCNN